UACGGGGGGGGGCAAGCGUUUGUUCGGAAUUACUGGGCGUAAAGGGCUCGUAGGCGGCCAACUAAGUCGGACGUGAAAUCCCCAGGCUCAACCUGGGAACUGCGUCCGAUACUGGAUGGCUUGAAUCCGGGAGAGGGAUGCAGAAUUCCAGGUGUAGCGGUGAAAUGCGUAGAUAUCUGGAGGAAGACCAGUGGCGAAGGCGGGUCUCUGGACAGUUCCUGACGCUGAGGCACGAAGGUCAGGGGAGCAAACGGG
rnacentral:rRNA from 1 species